rnacentral:rRNA from 1 species
CCUACGGGGGGCAGCAGUGGGGAAUAUUGCGCAAUGGGCGAAAGCCUGACGCAGCGACGCCGCGUGAGGGAUGAAGGUCUUCGGAUCGUAAAAUUCUGUCAGCAGGGAAGAACGGUCACUGUGCUAAUCAGCAGUGAAUUGACGGUACCUGCAAAGUAAGCACCGGCAAACUCCGUGCCAGCAGCCGCGGUAAUACGGAGGGUGCGAGAGGUAAGCGGAAUUACUGGGCGUAAAGCGCUCGUAGGCGGUAUGUCAAGUCAAGGGUGAAAUCCCCGCGCUCAACGUGGGAACUGCCUUUGAAACUGGCAAACUUGAGUGUGUGAGAGGAUAGUGGAAUUCCAGGUGUAGGAGUGAAAUCCGUAGAUAUCUGGAGGAACAUCAGUGGCGAAGGCGACUAUCUGGCACAUAACUGACGCUGAGGAGCGAAAGCGUGGGUAGCAAACAGGAUUAGAUACCCGUGUAGU